rnacentral:rRNA from 1 species
GAUGAACGCUAGCGACAGGCUUAACACAUGCAAGUCGAGGGGCAGCACGGGAGUAGCAAUACAACUGGUGGCGACCGGCGCACGGGUGAGUAACGUGUAUGCAACCUACCUAUCAGAGGGGAAUAACCCGGCGAAAGUCGGACUAAUACCGCAUAAAACAGGGGCACCGCAUGGUGAUAUUUGUUAAAGAAAUUCGCUGAUAGAUGGGCAUGCGUUCCAUUAGGUAGUUGGUGAGGUAACGGCUCACCAAGCCGACGAUGGAUAGGGGAACUGAGAGGUUGGUCCCCCACACUGGUACUGAGACACGGACCAGACUCCUACGGGAGGCAGCAGUGAGGAAUAUUGGUCAAUGGGCGAGAGCCUGAACCAGCCAAGUCGCGUGAAGGAAGAAGGAUCUAUGGUUCGUAAACUUCUUUUGCAGGGGAAUAAAGUGCGGGACGUGUCCUGUUUUGUAUGUACCCUGAGAAUAAGGAUCGGCUAACUCCGUGCCAGCCGCCGCAGUAAAAC